AGAGUUUGAUCCUGGCUCAGAGCGAACGCUGGCGGCACGCCUAACACAUGCAAGUCGAGCGAGAAAGUGACUUCGGUCGCGAGUAAAGCGGCGAACGGGUGAGUACAACGUGGAUAAUCUACCCUAAGGUCUGGGACAACCCCGAGAAAUCGGGGCUAAUACCGGAUAAGACCACAGUAUCCAAGGAUACAGCGGUAAAAGAUUUAUCGCCUUUGGAUGAGUCCACGCCCCAUCAGGUAGUUGGUAAGGUAAAGGCUUACCAAGCCUAAGACGGGUAGCCGGCCUUAGCGGGUGAACGGCCACAUGGGGACUGAGACACGGCCCUGACUCCUACGGGAGGCAGCAGUGGGGAAUAUUGGGCAAUGGGCGAAAGCCUGACCCAGCGAUGCCGCGUGAGGGAUGAAGGCCUUCGGGUUGUAAACCUCUGUCAGGAGGGACGAUGGGACUUUGUCUUGACGGUACCUCCAGAGGAAGCCCCGGCUAACUCCGUGCCAGCAGCCGCGGUAAUACGGAGGGGGCAAGCGUUGCUCGGAAUUACUGGGCGUAAAGGGUCC
rnacentral:rRNA from 1 species